UUGUGUGUUUUUAAAUCUCAGGACAGUCCACCAUGGCAGAGGAAGUGCUCCGUAACACAGCAGCAGGUUCUCUCCCAGAACCUGAUGACUCUGCUUUGGCCCAUUUCCUACAGAGCCUGACUGAUCGGCAACUACAAGUCAUACUUGGUGGGAUGCAUCAAAUGUUUACGAGGGACGAAAUCACCAUAAUGAACAUGGCCAUUGAGAAGAUCGUGACCACAGUAUCACAGAAGGUCAUCAUUCCAACAACUUGUGAAGUUCUGAAUAUGGAUGCCAGUUCGCUUUUCCUUGCGAGACCAGGAUCCUCAAAUCGUUCUUUGGAGUCAGUCACCAAAGAAGUUCUGAACACCAUUGUGAAGACCAUCAUUGAC